rnacentral:rRNA from 2 species
CUAACACAUGCAAGUCGAACGGUAACAGGAAGCAGCUUGCUGCUUUGCUGACGAGUGGCGGACGGGUGAGUAAUGUCUGGGAAACUGCCUGAUGGAGGGGGAUAACUACUGGAAACGGUAGCUAAUACCGCAUAACGUCGCAAGACCAAAGAGGGGGACCUUCGGGCCUCUUGCCAUCGGAUGUGCCCAGAUGGGAUUAGCUAGUAGGUGGGGUAACGGCUCACCUAGGCGACGAUCCCUAGCUGGUCUGAGAGGAUGACCAGCCACACUGGAACUGAGACACGGUCCAGACUCCUACGGGAGGCAGCAGUGGGGAAUAUUGCACAAUGGGCGCAAGCCUGAUGCAGCCAUGCCGCGUGUAUGAAGAAGGCCUUCGGGUUGUAAAGUACUUUCAGCGGGGAGGAAGGCGAUAAGGUUAAUAACCUUGUCGAUUGACGUUACCCGCAGAAGAAGCACCGGCUAACUCCGUGCCAGCAGCCGCGGUAAUACGGAGGGUGCAAGCGUUAAUCGGAAUUACUGGGCGUAAAGCGCACGCAGGCGGUCUGUCAAGUCGGAUGUGAAAUCCCCGGGCUCAACCUGGGAACUGCAUUCGAAACUGGCAGGCUAGAGUCUUGUAGAGGGGGGUAGAAUUCCAGGUGUAGCGGUGAAAUGCGUAGAGAUCUGGAGGAAUACCGGUGGCGAAGGCGGCCCCCUGGACAAAGACUGACGCUCAGGUGCGAAAGCGUGGGGAGCAAACAGGAUUAGAUACCCUGGUAGUCCACGCCGUAAACGAUGUCGACUUGGAGGUUGUGCCCUUGAGGCGUGGCUUCCGGAGCUAACGCGUUAAGUCGACCCGCCUGGGGAGUACGGCCGCAAGGUUAAAACUCAAAUGAAUUGACGGGGGCCCGCACAAGCGGUGGAGCAUGUGGUUUAAUUCGAUGCAACGCGAAGAACCUUACCUACUCUUGACAUCCAGAGAACUUAGCAGAGAUGCUUUGGUGCCUUCGGGAACUCUGAGACAGGUGCUGCAUGGCUGUCGUCAGCUCGUGUUGUGAAAUGUUGGGUUAAGUCCCGCAACGAGCGCAACCCUUAUCCUUUGUUGCCAGCGGUUAGGCCGGGAACUCAAAGGAGACUGCCAGUGAUAAACUGGAGGAAGGUGGGGAUGACGUCAAGUCAUCAUGG